rnacentral:rRNA from 1 species
AGUGAACGCUGGCGGUAGGCCUAACACAUGCAAGUCGAACGGCAGCACAGUAAGAGCUUGCUCUUACGGGUGGCGAGUGGCGGACGGGUGAGGAAUACAUCGGAAUCUACUUUUUCGUGGGGGGUAACGUAGGGAAACUUACGCUAAUACAGCAUACGACCUACGGGUGAAAUCAGGGGAUCUUCGGACAUUGCGCGAAUGAAUGAGCCGGUGUCGGAUUAGCUAGUAGGCUGGGUAAUGGCCCACCCAGGCGACGAUCCGUAGGCGGCCUGAGAGGGUGGUCGGCCACACUGGGAAGGAGGCAAGGGUCAAGAUUCCACGGGGGGGAGCAGUAGGGGAUCUUCGGCAAUGGGGGAAAGUCUGACUGAGCAACGCCGGGUGGGUGGAGGAGGUCUGCGGAUUGGAAAACUCUGUUGUUAGGGAAGAACGGGCGUGAGAGUGGAACGUCCACAUUGUGACGGUAGCUAACCAGAAAGGGACGGCUAACUACGUG